rnacentral:lncRNA from 1 species
GUUGAACUUUCUCUUAGGGGAAACAGUUUAAUCCCCAAGUACUAUGAGAUAGGCGUUUUAAGGCAACUUUUUAAAAAGGAAAAUAAAUCUGCUUUUUGCCGUCUAGGAAAGAUACAUUUUUCCUUGUGGAAAUCUGCAGUCUGAAAAGACAGAUAUGAAAAGCAUGAACUGUUGAAAAUAACCUAAAUGUUCUUUGAAAAUUUAAAGGCCAGCUUAUCCUGCAAUGGUGAUAGAAUAGUCGGCUUACAACACGCAAAGCCGAGCCGCGGGUGGGCAGGCGCCGCCCGUGGCUCGCGGAGUGGAUGCACUCGAGGGCGCGGCCGCUGCGCUUGGGGAACUUUCAGGGCGCCAAGUACGGGUAGCGCUUCUGAUGGAUUCCCGGGUCUGGGAGGAUCCGAUUAUCCCGGGGCCGGGUGACACGCACAAAGCUGAGGUUAGAGUUGGCCAGGAAGGGAGGACCUGGUGAGCCGGUGGAACAAAAGCGGGAAGGCCUUUCCUUCUAGGAGCAAAACCAGCGACGCGUCCCGGACGCCCGGGGACCCCUGUGGGUCUCGGUUUCCUUCGCUGUGACCCUGACAUGUUUCCCUCCACCGGCCCGAGGAAACCGUCGCUUCCAGCCUCCAGGUACCGUCACCUCUGCGGGGCUGCGAGCGGAGGACCGGGACAGAGAAGGAGCCGGCGGUCCUGGCCAGCCGCGCGGCUCAAAACCCGACGGCGCGGGGACUCCGGGCCUGGGGCCUCCAUGGCUGUGGCCUCCUUAUCUCCCGGGCCGGCUGCUCCCUACGCUGCGGGGCUGAGGGCACUGGGGACCCAGGGGCUUCUCUGGCACUAGCGAGGACCUAACCUUGAGUGAAGAACGAUGUCAAGUGAAAGUGAAGAAUAACGGGGGUGGGCGCGAAGAGAAUGGUCUUGGGGCGCGCUUGCGCCUCUACCCGAGGACCGAGGUGGGGAUUCGACAGACGCCAGCGGUGGGGAUCCGGGGCGAGAAGCCCCGACUUUCUGAGUCGUGAGCCGCCUCCAGUCGCCCCAGGACGUAACCCCGAGGAGCUUUCAGACACUGGCCGCGCCUAAUAUCGCUGAGAACCGCGAAAACCGGAGUUCCGGCCGCCUCCCGGACUGGCGUCCCGAGGCCAGGGGACCCGCUUGGGGCUCCCGGCCGAGCCCCGACCUCGGACGUUUUUCCGGGAGCCGCGAGAGGCCUGGGGGCCUGGGCCAGGCGCCGCGGCGGGCAUCGAUCGCCGGCUCCCAGAGAGUGGCCCCGCGCAGGUGGAGGUGACCCCGUCACCUCCAGGAGCGCCCCCAAGCCCCGGUACCCGCAGCGUGCGCCCUCUCCUCCUCCCCGAAGGUUAAGUUCGUCUUUUUCGGUUCUCGGUUACGCAUCCCCUUGGCACGCAUGCCCAGCCACACCGUGGGCGAAACUAGAGGGCCCGCGUCCCCUGGGGGCUGCCGCGGGGCCCCGAGUGAGGUGUCCCCUCCGGGCCGGGCCCGAGUCGGAGGCCCCCUUUGCAGCCUAGAGGAGCGCGGGGCUGGCGCUGCGCAGGAACCGCCAGGCCGGGGAGGGGGCCGCGCCCGGGCCUGGGCCAAGAGCGCGCGUCCCCCGCCCGGGCCCUGCGGCCCUCCCCAGGUGUCUGAGCAGAGCUGCUGAAGCUGCAGAAAUGUGCUGGCGCCUGUCCACCGCCGCACACAAAACCCAGCCAAAAGCGGCGAGAGGAAAAGCGAAUAUGGCGCUGCUGAAAAUGGAGACUCCGCAUCUAGAAAGUCUUUCUUUCCUUUCCUCUUUUCGCUCUUACUUCGUCGAUCUUUUCCCCCUUGCCCUCUCACGAGGGCCUCCUGCGCUUUCCUUCGGGUGUUCUCUACCCCUCGGCCCCUUUCCUGUUCUUAUGAAUAACCUCCUUUACUCGGUUUUCCUUCUUCCUUUCCACUCCCGGUUCCUCUUUCUCCAUUUUGUGUCACAGGCGCCUUGCUUCUUGUUCCCUUUCAGGGCGCGCACUCCCCCGCCCGGCUCACUUUAUUUUGUGUGUGGGUGGCGGAGCAGGGAGGGGGUGGCAAGGAUCGUGAGGCUAAGUAUCGAGUUUGUUUGUUUGUUUUUCUUUCUUUCUUCUUCUUCUUUUUAAAGGUGUUAUCUUAGGAGCCAAGCAUCUCCUUUGGUCCUGCGCUCCUUCGCCUAGCGCCUGGUGCCCCCCACCCGGCUGCAUCCGAGGCUUGCGCGGCCCGGUCCCAUCAGCCGAGCGUCGCCCGCCCAGGAGGAGGCUCGGGUUCUCCGCAGAAGCGAAUACUUUCUCUUUUUGUUUUAAGUUAGAACCUUGCUUUUGCAGUGAUUCGUUGCUGUGGCGUGAUUUUAAACAGGUCGAAAAGCAUCAUGAAGCCAAGUGGUUAUUGUUUUGCUUAUUCAGUGUGAACUGAGUGAGCCAGGUUUGUAUACCAAGUGAUUCUCGUGGUGGACAAUACCAAUAUGAUUAUGCCAAAUGCAUUGCUUCUGAGGCAUCACUCUUUGGGCACAUAUAGACCCUGCUGAUUUCUGCCAAAGCACUCUUCUUAAAGUUCCAAAACAUUACCCCAAAACCUCUAUAGCCCCCUAUUGCCAACAAAAUUAAAGCCUUUCUCUUCAUUGGCAUUAGAAGCCCCUGUAACCCAUUGCUUUUCCAUUUCCAGCCUCUUUCCAAAAUUACCAAACAAACUCUGUAUCCUGCAGCCACCAAACUGUACUAGUUGUAAUAUAUUCACUAAGAACAGUGGUCUCUCAUUUGUCUCUCUUUUCUCUCUUCUUAUAUCAGUUAGAAUGUAACAGACAACCCAGCUAACACAGAGGCUCAUUUUUCUUAUGUGACAAGAAGUCUGUAGAUAAAGAGUUGCUAGUGUUUUCUUGGGGGUUCAGUGAUAUCACCUCUGUGAUUCAGUUGACCUUCAUAUCAUAGUUGCAAAAUGGCUGCCGUAAGUACAAAAACCACACUGACUGCUGGGUGGGAAGGCAACAGAAAAUUUGUUCUUGGUGAGUCUUACUCACGUCAAGGAAGUAUAAUAUUUUCCAAAAUGCCCCACCAAAGGAUUUCCUCUUACAUCAUAUUAGCCAGAACUGGGACAUAUUAUCACCCUUUAUCUGGGGUAGAGGCCCACAUUUCCACAUCAAAGGGAAUUUGCUCAAUGCCUAAAUCAAACUGGAAUUCAGUUAAGCAAAGAAGAAACAGAGGAAUGGUUUUUGGGUAGGCAGUAAACACUGUCAGCUACAUCUCCCUGAAAGCCAUCACUCCCUUAAAAUAUCUUUGCGUAAUGUCAUCAGUUACUUCUGAACUUUUUCAUCCAAUGGACAGUGUUUAUUUUCUAACUUACUUGAACUUUUUGUGGGGCUUAGCCACACCCUUUUUGAAAUUUAUGUAUUCAUCAAAUACCCACUCAUCACUUACUGUGUAUUAGUCACUCUGCUGGGCAAAGAGAAUGAAAAAAUGAGUCAUGCAUGGUCCUGAACCUUCACAAGUUUAUAGCCUAGUGGGGCAGACAGGUGAAUAAAUAAGUGCAAAAGAAUGUUAUAGAUACUGUGAUAAAAUUAUGUUUCGUGGGCCGGGUGUGGUGGCUCAUGCCUGUAAUCUCAGCACUUUGGGAGGCUGAGGCGGGUGGAUCACCUGAGGUCAGGAGUUUGAGACUAGCCUGGCCAACAUGGUGAAACCCCGUCUCUAAUAAAAAAUAACAAAAAUUAGCUGGGCGUGGUGGCAGGCACCUGUAAUCCCAGCGACUGGGAGGCUGAGGCAGGAGAAUUGCUUGAACCCAAGAGGCAGAGAUUGCAGUGAGCUGAGAUCACGCCAUUGCACUGCAGCCUGGGCAACAAGAGAAAACUUUGUCUCAAAAUAAAUAAAUAAUAUGUUUUGUGGGUUUUUUUUUUUUUCUUUGACAGGGUUCUUACUCUGUCACCCAGCCUGGAGUGCAGUGGCACGAUUAUAGCUCACUAUAACCUCGGGCUCCCUGGCUCAAGCAAUUCUCCUGCCUCAGCCUCCUGAGUAGUUGGAACUAUGCAGGCUAAUUAUUUUAUCUUUUGUAGAAAUGGGGUCUUGCUAAGUUAGCCAGGCUUGUCUUGAACUCCUGAGCUCAAGCGGCCUUCCCACAUUGACUUCCCAAAGUGCUGGGAUUACAGGCAUGAGCCACCAUGCCGGGCUUAGAAUGAUGAAUGAGAUAAAAUGGGGUACAAAGAAAGGAGCAGCCAUUUCUGGAUCUCAGGUGUGAUGUCUCUUUUCAGGGAAGGACAGGGGUGAUACAGCCAUUAAUAAAAGCAAUCUCACUUUCCUGGUUGGUUGUCUCUUUGCCUCCUCCCCUGGAAUAAUACAGACCUCUGUAGAAAAUCACAGGCAGGGUAGGGAUGACGGAGCUGGCCUCCUCCCUUCCCUUGGCCUGACAAAUAUGCAUGGAAUUCCCAGGAAUGUUCAAGCUUUUUUUUUUUUUUUUUCCAAACUUCAGAUUAGAAUCCAACUCAUGUAGAAUCCAUGUAGAAUCCGACUCAAACAGAAUCCAUCAGGCAUGAGAAUUCUGGAAUGCCCUUCCUGGUUUAUCUACUUCAUCUGUGUUCCAUGAAGGGCACCUGGUCUCACACCUAGACUCCGGGAGCUCCAGGUCCCUACUCUCUUAGGUUUCAGGGCCUAACCAAUCAGGAUGGCAAGAAGGAUGUAUUUGGGGAGAUCCAAGCCUGUCUGCUUGGCUGUAGUGUAGGACUGGGGGGAAAAGAAAGGCACAGUAAGGAUCAAAACAAGGCUGGAGCAGUAGGUAAAGAUGAGUUCAUGCCAACGUAGGAGGCUUGAAGAUGUUUGGUAAGUCAUAGGUUCCCAAACUUUCCAGCUCACUGCAUCUGUAGCAUCUUCGUAAUUUGUUCAUGGUGCCCUCAGCCAGAAGACAUACUUCACAAUUCCAUUCGUUAAGUAGGUAAGUCUAAACAACAUAUUAGUGGUCAUUUGUGAGGUGUUUGAUAGGUGGGGCUGUAUUUCUCUCAAACAUUUAAAAUAUCCCACAGCAACCUUGUGAGUUUGUUCCCUGUGGUGUCCCAGGGUGACCUGAUGGGAAAUUUGAGAACCAUGGUAUAGGUCGCUAAAGAUUUUUCAUCUGGUGAAUUAAAUAUUUGAUUUUGUAUUUGAGAAAGCGCCAUCUUUCUGUAGAUUGGAGUAAAGGCGUGGUGGGAGGUAAGGAGACCAUAAGUUAGUGGUAGUCAUUUAGGAGAGAAGUGAUGGGGAUAUAAAAUGAGACAUACUAAUGAGCAUGCUGCUGGAUCUAAAAUAUGUUAUGGAGGUAGAAUGGAGAGGAGGAUUUCCUUAUCAAUUGGUUUUUGGAGAGAAAGAAAGAGAGAGGUUGAUUCCUAGACUGUGGGCUUGGGUUAAAG